AUAAUAAAGAGUUUGAUCCUGGCUCAGGAUGAACGCCGGCGGCACGCUUAACACAUGCAAGUCGAACGGACUUAAGUCUUUCGGGACUUAAGUUAGUGGCGGACGG
rnacentral:rRNA from 1 species